GGAACUCGACCCAAUAUUCUGGGAUCAUCUAUGAGGAAAAAGAAUCUGUAUAACUGAAUCACAUUGCUGUAGAGCAGAAUUACCACCAACUUCUAAGUCAAUUAUACUUAAAAAAACUUGAAAAAAAUGGAAAAAAGUUGGCUAAUUCAUGGACAUAGGAAUUAAAGCUUUCUAACCUACCUUCUGUAUAGAUCACCACUUGGUCAUGACAUCUCUCAAGCCACCAACAUAUUUUGAGAAGAAUCUGCAAGAAUAAAACAGCAUUAAAAAUUGAAGUUUCACAGUGCCAAGAAAAUUCCUAAUUAUUGAGUCUAAGUCACUUAUUUUACAUUUCAAAUAGGAAUAUCCUUGCAGCUUUUUAAAUUCUUCACUGCAAAAUUUAGGUAUUCACAGACGAAGGAUUAAAAAGCAAAUUUAUUUCAAAGUAUUAUUUCUGUUUUGACACAAAUUCAUAAAACAAAAUCUAUUACCAAAAAAGACAUGCGAUAUAAUUUAAAUAUGUAAUUUGCAACAGCUACAUAUAUUGUAAAGCUACUGUUCUAAAACUAAGGAGCAAUUACCUCUUGUUUGCUUUAGCACUCAGUAUGCUGAAAAGUCUGGAGAACCAUUGGUUUAUUAACAAAUAUAUUUAGGGAGUUCCUGUCGUGGCUCAGUGGAAAUGAAUCUGACUCGUAUGCAUGAGGACGCAAGUUCGAUCCCUGGCCUAGCUCAGUGGGUUAAGGAUCCCGUGUUGCUGUGAGCUGUGGUGUAGGUCUCAGACUCGACUCAGAUCUGUGCUGCCCUAAAAAGACAAAAAAAGAAAAAAACAACAAAUAGAUAUAAAAUGAAGUAGUGCAAAAGAACCCCAUGUGCACUUUUGCCUGUUUGAAAAUUACUUUUAGAAUUAUCGAAAAAAACUGAAAAUGUUUCAAAACAUUAUUUGAAAGAUAUGUAAGGGAGAGGGUAGGACGAUAUGCCUGCAUACUUAUUGCCUAAUAAUUUAAAUUACAAAUAUGGGGAGUAUAGACUUUCAGUUAUAAGACAGAUAAGUUCUAGAAAAUUCAUGUACAGCAUGGGGAUUACAAUUCAUAAUAAUGUGCCAUAUACUUAAUUUGCUAGAAGAAUAGAUCUGAAAUAUUCUGACCCCCGACACACAUACACACACACACACACACACACACACACAAAGGUAACUGUGUGAACUGAUGGAUAUGUUAAUUGGCUUGAUGAUGGGAUGGUUUCCUGAUUUCAUUUCAUGAAAUGAUAGUGGAAUCAUUUCACAUUGUGUAUGUAUAUCAAAACAUUAUGUUGUACAAUCUAAAUAUGUACGACUUUUGUCAACCACACCUCAGUAAAGCUGGAAAAAGUACAGAGACACAGCACUCCCCUCUUACCUCACCCUUACCAUUCUCUGCCUUAUCCAGUGUGCUGCUAUGAUGUACUUUGAACAUGCCAUGGUCUAGUCUCAGUUCCUUUUUAUCUGCUGUUUACUCUGUAAUCAGACUCUUAAGAUAGUUGUAUGGCCCUGCCCUGACUCCUGCUCUGCUAAAAAGGCACCAUGACAGGAAGAACUUCCCUGAUUACCUUAAAAACAAACAAACAAACAAAACCCUGGUCCUCACCUUCUCCCUUUGCAUUCUUAAUCCUCAUUCCUGCUUCAUUUUAGUUUUUAAAUGUUAGUUUUAUUUUUAAAUAAAAUAAAUUAUUUCAAAAUUUAGAUGUACAGAAAAAAAUCCAGAGACAGCAGAGACAGCUUCCGCAUGUCUGUUACACAACUUUCCUUAAGGUUAACCUCUUAUGUAACUAUAAUACAUUGAACAAAAGUAAACAAUUAACAUUGGUAUAAUACCAUACACUACACAAUACAGUUUUUAAUUUUACCACUUUUCCACUCAUUUGUCUUUUCUGGCCCAGAAGCCAGUACAGGGAGCUAUAAUGCAUUUAGUCAUCAAGACCCUUUCCUUUUCCCAAAUCUGAGAUGGAUCCUCAGACCAUCCUUGUUUUUCAUGACCUUGACACUUGUGAAAAAUACCAAUGAGGUAUUUUGUACAGUGCCUCUAGUUUGGGUUUGUCUGACUAGACUGGGGUUCAUGGGAUCCUCAUCCCUGCAAUGUCCCCCAGCAGUUCUAUCGGCCACUUGAUGGGACAAGAGAAGUGGGUCUUCUUGAGAGUGUCCUACACAGCUGGGGAAACCAGGCACUCACUCACACACCCUCACUUUACCCCUUGGAAGAAAUCACAGGCUGAGAAGAUAUGGCCUGACAUGAAGCUGUGCCACCUGGAGGACAGAUGACAUGUGUUAAGUCAAACACACACACACACACACACAUAUAUUUUGCUCCAGUGCUAUACCAGCACUUCCCUGGAAACCUAGCCUUCCUCAAAGUCUCUCUUACCCAUGAGUGAUUGUCAGAGUCAGUGUUCUUUAGGGACUUCUGGACCCCAGCUGAGCAGAGCUGAGGCAGGUUCAUGGGCUACUACAGUGUCCACAGGCAGGACCAAUUCCCGCCACAUGGAUGGGCAAGACUCCUCCAAGGACCCUUGGUACCUGGUGCUGAAAUCUCUCAUCUCCCAGAAAGUCACCUGUUUCUGUGGAUGAAUGCCAAGUUGUUGUUGGGGGAGGCGGGUAGCAGGAUCUGCAUUUUGAAAUCGUUUUUGUUAGGUGCAUACACAUUUAAAAUUGCUGGGUUGCGGGGAGCUGAGGAGAUGCAAGGACUCAAAAAAAGGACCUUGCCUGAUGGCAGAAAAACCUGAAGGCAAGUUCCUAACCAAGGAAGGGAGCUCAUCUGAAUGGUAUAUGCCAAAGGUGGGCCUCUGGACAGGAUGAAAACUCACCUGAAUGGUACAAGCCGAAGGUGGGCUUCUGGUCAGGAUAAAAAGCCUGCCUGAACAGUACAAGCUGAGGGCAGGCCUCAGGUUACACAGCUCUCAUUUUGAUGUUUAUGGGGAAGAACUGGGGCUUUCCUGGGAAAGCAAUUUCCAUGUUUGCUCUGGAGAACAUGGAUUGUUUCUCAGGUGACCUAGUCUAUCCUGUUGUUUUAUUUGUUAUUCAGUUUCCUCAGUCUUUCCUGAUUAUUUACUUAUUAUUCUUAUUUUCCAUUCUUAUUUUCCUGUGGUGAUUUGUGAUUUAACAAAAUUACAACAAUAAUAUAAUAAGAAUUUCAUCCUGAAGGACUUUCCCCUAUUUAAAUCCAACUUAAUUAAUAUAUAGUGUUUAUCUACUAACUAGUUAUACAGUAAACUUUAGAGUUAGGAUUUUAAUGAGGUUCAUAGAAGUUAGACAUAUAUUAUUCUUGACCAAAAGACACCUAGCUAUGAGUUAUAGAAGCUUUUAAGUGAUAUCUAGUUAAGUUGGUUUAUAUUUUCUUACACUGUCUCCCUGCCAUAAUGCUUUAAAGAUAAGCACCAGUCUAAAAACAAGAUUUGUGAAUUCCCAAUUCUUGUGUCUCUGACCUCUUCAACUUGUGGAGAAUUGCUGGCCAUGGGAUGAUUUGUACUGGGUCUCCUCCUUUCCACAUGAUGUAUUGUACCUAAUUGCCCUUAAAUUGUACUCACUUAGUUAAGACAAAUAUGUUAGAACGUGAUGUAUAGCUGCUGUACCAUGUAAAAGUUAACCAAUGUACUUUUAACACUACGAUGUAAUUUGUAGUGAAAAACUGCCGAUAUAAUCUACUACUUUUGCCAAAAAAAUUUGAGCAGUCCAGCGCCCUAAAAGAAGGGACAAAGAGGCUGUCUCCAUAUGUACAUUCGCCGACACCGUGUCCCUCUCCGAUCGGGAUGUAUACUCCCUGGCCGCUGGAGCUGGCCUCUGGCACUGUGUCUUUUUGGAGAAUUGUUGUCUUUAUCAUUAUGAGAAUCCUCAUUAAAAUAGGUGAGGCAGAAGCUGAUCAAUCUGAAAGGAGAAAUACACAAAUUCACAUUGUAGGAGAUAAGGACUCGUCACUCAAUAAAUGGUAGAAUAGGUAGGCAGAAAACCAUGUGAAUCAUCAUGACUUCAAAAAGUCAGGUGAACACUUAUGAUUUCAAAAACCAACUAGAGAUUACAAAUUAAAGUACUGCCAUGGUGUAAUUUUUGACUAUUUCUUAUUACCAUCUGAAGGGCAGGUGCAGUUUAGCCAGAUUUAGUGCUACAUGGCAUAUAGAAGGGUUUCUUUAGCAUGUACAUCAGAAUGAAAAGAGGGCUAAUAUGGGAACAGUGGUAUAGUACAUUUGGGUUAAGCUAAUUGCAUAUUUUCUUGUGAUAAGACUUCUAAUAAGACUCAUUAUUUAUGCACAUACAUAAAAUUGAGACACAAUUCCUUUUGUUCAACUCUUAAUAGUGUAUUUAGCAUUCUCAUUAACAAGUUUUCUCACCAGUGUAGAAGCUGUCCUUUGGUUUUGACUUUUGCUUCUAAACUAGAGAUAAAGCUUGCAAUCCAAUUUUGCAUUCACAGAAGAAUAAGAAAUUGCUCAAUGUGUCCAGUUCAAUACUAUAGUCAUGUUUGCAUGUUGAGAUAAGAACAGCCAAGUAGAGGGAAAAGAGGACGGCAGAGAACAGAAAGCAAGUAGUCUCCUUCCUUUGUUUUUAAAGCUAAGUGUGUUGGUAUGUUAAGCAAAUUCAAAUGUGAAUUACAUUAAAUAUUCCUACAGAAUUCAUUCUGCAGAAAAGGCUAAAGAAAUGACAAUCAUGGCAGCAACAGCAUUGAGAUAAAAUGUUAAUCUUUUUACUGAGAGCUUAAUGGAAAUGAUGGGGCCACAGAGCCCCUGCCAUCUGCAACUGAACACAAGUGGAGAGUCAACAUCAAAUAGCAGUUACUUGUAUCUAUAAUAGCUAAAAUAAUAUUUAUGUGAUAUACAUCAUAGGAGAGAAAAGUGCGCUCGGGUUUAUUGAGAAAUUGAAAUUCAAGGAUCAUUCCAGAAUGAAAACCAGUUCCUUAGGAUCGAUCUUGGCAAGACAGCUGUGCUUUACAUACUUCACCGUGUGGUACAUUAUUAGAAAUUAAGUGAACAUAUCAGAGGAAUGGAUCCCUAUUUUCACCCUAAGAAGUUAUUGAUUAUAAGAGACAUCAUUACAUUUUAGAAGACUAAAGGAAGAAAAAGAAAUAUGAGAUUAAAUAUGCACUUUAGUUUUAAAAUUCAUACUAUAGAUAGUAAAUAUGAAAAAACAUGUCUAACCAUUGAAGGAACACAGCAACAAUCUCAACAUACCGAUCAAUCAUUAGAUUACUUUAGUAGCCUCAAUGGGGAUGGACACCACAUCACAGAAAGAACAUUAACGGACAAAAAUAACUCGAGAGGAAAACAUACAGGAGAUAAGGAGUCUGAAAACAUUCUUAGAACUCAAUGGCCAUAUCUAAGAUUUGCUAAAAUAAAAAAAACUAAAACCCCACCAAACUCUAGGGAAAGGGGAAAAUCUGGUUUCUCUAGUUUACAUGUUCAUCAAAUCCAAAAGUCAAAUUUUCAAUAAAAGCAAUCAAGGCACACAAAAAAACAGCAAUGUUUAGCUGAUUCAAAGAAGCAAAAUAGGAGUUCCCAUGGUGGCUCAGUGGAAACAAACCCAACUAGUAUCCAUGAAUGAGGAUCUGGAUUUGAUCUCUGGCCUCGCUAAUCAGGUUAAGAGUCUGGUGUUGCUAUGAGCCAUGGUGUGGGUUACAGACAUAUCUUGUAUCUGGUAUUGCUGUGGCUAUGGUGUAGGCCAGCAGUUAUACCCUGAUUUGACCCCUAGCCCGGGAAUUUCAAUAUGCUGCAUCUGCAGCCCUUAAAAAGAAGCAGCAAAAUAAAUCAACCAACAGAACAUGUACCUGAGGAAGCCCAGAUGUCAAAAUUACUAGACAAAGACUUAAAAACAAUUAUUUUAAAGAUGCUCAAAGAGCUAAAGGAAGACAUGGACAAAAAUAGAAAAAUAAUAUGUAGAAAAUAAUAUCGAUAGAGGUUAAAUUAUUUUCAAAAAGAACCAAAAAGAAAUUUUUAAGCUGAAAAGUCCAAUCACUGAAAUGAAAAGUAUCUCAAAAGGGUUCAAAACCAGAUCUGCAAGCCGAACAAUCAGUGCACAUAAAGAACAAAUAAAAUGAUCAAGU
rnacentral:lncRNA from 1 species